rnacentral:rRNA from 1 species
GACGAACGCUGGCGGCGUGCUUAACACAUGCAAGUCGAACGAAGUGGCGAACGGGUGAGUAACGCGUAAUCAACCUGCCCUUCAGCGGGGGACACCAGUUGGAAACGACUGCUAAUACCGCAUACUGAAGGAGGGGAUUGCGUCUGAUUGGCUGGUUGGGGGGGUAACGGCCCACCAAGGCGAUGAGCAGUAGGCGGGCUGAGAGGAUGGACGGACACAAUGGGAAUGGGAAACGGCCCAGAAUCCUACGGGGGGCAGCAGUGGGGAAUCUUCCGAAAUGGACGAAAGUCUGACGGAGCAACGCCGCGUGAGUGAUGACGGCCUUCGGGGUGUAAAGCUCUGUUAAUCGGGACGCGGUACCGGAAUAGAAAGCCACGGCUAACUACGUGCCAGCAGCCGCGGUAAUAC